rnacentral:rRNA from 1 species
UACGUAGGGACCGAGCGUUGUCCGGAUUCAUUGGGCGUAAAGGGCGCGUAGGCGGUUCGUUAAGUCCUGUGUGAAAUCCCCCGGCUCAACUGGGGAACUGCACAGGAAACUAGCGGGCUUGAGUUCGGGAGAGGGAAGCGGAAUUCCGGGUGUAGCGGUGAAAUGCGUAGAUAUCCGGAGGAACACCGGUGGCGAAGGCGGCUUCCUGGACCGACACUGACGCUGAGGCGCGAAAGCUAGGGAGCAAACGGG